CGCAGCCACGGUAAUACGUAGGGUGCGAGCGUUAAUCGGAAUUACUGGGCGUAAAGCGUGCGCAGGCGGUUGUGUAAGACAGGUGUGAAAUCCCCGGGCUUAACCUGGGAACUGCGCUUGUGACUGCACAGCUAGAGUAUGGCAGAGGGGGGUGGAAUUCCACGUGUAGCAGUGAAAUGCGUAGAUAUGCGGAGGAACACCGAUGGCGAAGGCAGCCCCCUGGGCCAACACUGACGCUCAUGCACGAAAGCGUGGGGAGCAAACAGGAAUAGAUACCCCCGUAGUCCCUGUCUCUUAUACC
rnacentral:rRNA from 1 species